GGAGAGGUGCCGGAGCGGUUGAACGGGACUGACUCGAAAUCAGUUGAUCCGCUUGCCGCGGAUCCGAGGGUUCGAAUCCCUCCCUCUCCG
rnacentral:tRNA from 1 species